UGUUUCUAUACAAAAAUUAUGUUAAUCUCGUUAAUCUGAUUAAUUAUGAGGAUAACUUUCAUAUCCAUUCAAUAAUGUCUGAGC